CCCCUUCAAAACCGCCGCGACCUGCCCUAUAUUCAACCUGUCGGGCAACCGACUAUGGACAUAAACGCGCUCGUAAUACGCGGAUCGGACCCGGGGGCGGUACCCGGCAGCUCCACCAAAACCCGCUCAUUUGGCGGCAAUGGGGCUGA
rnacentral:tmRNA from 1 species